GCCAGUGUGGUAUAGUGGUUUAAGCAUUGGACUGCCACUCUGGAGUCCAGGGUUUGAAUCCCUGCUCGGUCU